rnacentral:rRNA from 1 species
UACGUAGGUGGCAAGCGUUGUCCGGAUUUACUGGGUGUAAAGGGCGUGUAGCCGGGCUGACAAGUCAGAUGUGAAACCCGGGGGCUCAACCCCCGAACUGCAUUUGAAACUGUUGGUCUUGAGUAUCGGAGAGGCAGGCGGAAUUCCUAGUGUAGCGGUGAAAUGCGUAGAUAUUAGGAGGAACACCAGUGGCGAAGGCGGCCUGCUAGACGACAACUGACGGUGAGGCGCGAAAGCGUGGGGAGCAAACAGG